GAUGAACGCUGGCGGCGUGCUUAACACAUGCAAGUCGAACGAAGCACUUUUAAUUCUUCGGAAGAGAAAGUGACUGAGUGGCGGACGGGUGAGUAACGCGUGGGUAACCUGCCUUAUACAGGGGGAUAACAGUUAGAAAUGACUGCUAAUACCGCAUAAGCCGAUAGAGUCGCAUGACUUAGUCGGAAAAGAUUUAUCGGUAUAAGAUGGACCCGCGUCUGAUUAGCUAGUUGGUGAGGUAAUGGCCCACCAAGGCGACGAUCAGUAGCCGGCUUGAGAGAGAGAACGGCCACAUUGGGACUGAGACACGGCCCAAACUCCUACGGGAGGCAGCAGUGGGGAAUACUGCACAAUGGGGGAAACCCUGAUGCAGCAACGCCGCGUGAAGGAAGAAGUAUUUCGGUAUGUAAACUUCUAUCAGCAGGGAAGAAAAUGACGGUACCUGACUAAGAAGCCCCGGCUAACUACGUGCCAGCAGCCGCGGUAAUAC
rnacentral:rRNA from 1 species